UCAGUGAUGGAUGUCUUGCUCGAACAACGAUGAAGGGCGCAGUGAAGUGCGAUGAGCACUGUGAAUGCAGGAUUCCGCGAGCCAGCAAGGACUUGAAUGUNUCUGUGCUCUCGGGAUAUCAUGGAGCCUGGUUGCUCAGUGGUUUUUUGCAUC
rnacentral:rRNA from 1 species